rnacentral:misc_RNA from 1 species
AAAAAAGAAAACCUCAUUCAGACAAAAAACCAUAGAAGUGUCUCAAACUUUGACAAGAGAAGGCACUUUUAGAAUGAUUUGUUCCCUGUUUUACUAAGGAAUCUACAACAUUGUUUGACUGCUUCAGCAUGGCAAUUAGCCAAACUUUUCACAUCCAUCCAUACAAUAAGGUGUGCUCUACUAAGUUCCAAUUCUCAUCUCAUAAACACUAAUCCAUUAAUUAAAGAACACAAUUUAUUUUGUGAUGAUGUGACAUCAAAAUAUAGCAGAAUUGCACAAAUGUCCUUUUUGCUUCUAGAGGAGGGUAAUGGGGUAACUUUAUUCUGCUAGUGUGAAUAUUCAUUCUUGGUUGUUAAAGAUGUCUCCCACCCCUGUUAUGUUAGCAUCUAAACAUUUCUUAUCAACUAAGAUUAAUAAUUAUAUCCAAAG